GAUGAACGCUGGCGGCGUGCCUAAUACAUGCAAGUAGAACGAGUGGGGACGGGUGAGUAACACGUGGGUAACCUCCCAUCAGAGGGGAUAACACUUGGAAACAGGUGCUAAACCGAUAUUGAUGGAUGGACCCGCGGUGCAUUAGCUAGUUGGUGAGGUAACGGCUCACCAAGGCCACGAUGCAUAGCCGACCUGAGAGGGUGAUCGGCCACACUGGGACUGAGACACGGCCCAGACUCCUACGGGAGGCAGCAGUAGGGAAUCUUCGGCAAUGGACGAAAGUCUGACCGAGCAACGCCGCGUGAGUGAAGAAGGUUUUCGGAUCGUAAAGCUCUGUUGUUAGAGAAGCGGUAACUAACCAGAAAGGGACGGCUAACUACGUGCCAGCAGCCGCGGUAAUAC
rnacentral:rRNA from 1 species